GUCUUUAUGUUUAGAUUUAUAAAGUCUGGCCUGCCCACUGAAGUUUAAAGGGCCGCGGUAUUUUGACCGUGCAAAGGUAGCAUAGUAAUUAGUCUUUUAAUUGGAGGCUUGUAUGAAUGGUUGAACAAGAAAUAAUUUGUCUUAAUUGAAAUUAUUGAAUUUAACUUUUAAGUAAAAAGGCUUAAAUAAAUUAAAGUGACGAUAAGACCCUAUAAAACUUGAUAAUUUAGGCUAUAAAAAUCAAUUAGUUAUUUAAAUUUUUUUUAGUUAAUUUUAUUUUAUUGGGGCGAUAAAAAUAAAAAUAGUAACUGUUUUAAAGAUUUAAAUGGUUAUUUCCAAUUAUAUUAAAUGAUCCUUUUUUAGAGAUUAUAAGAUUAAGUUACUUUAGGGAUAACAGCGUAAUUUUCUUUGAAAGUUCUUAUUAACAAGAGAGAUUGCGACCUCGAUGUUGAAUUAAAAAUUCUUUAAGGUGUAGCAGCUUUAAUAGAAGGUCUGUUCGACCUUUAAAUUUUU
rnacentral:rRNA from 1 species